rnacentral:lncRNA from 1 species
CUGACGCUGCUUUCGGUGCCGCCACCCAGCUGCUUUCGGUGCCAUCGCCCAACUGCUUUUGACGCCGCCGCCCAGCACUUAACUCCAACGCCAGCGCCUUCAGAGGUGUGUAUAUGCACUCAAAAUUUGUUGGUUCUCAAAAUAUAUAAAGUGUUCGUCAAGUGUUAAGGCUGUUUGAUGAAAUGCUAGAAAAAGGAUUGGUAUUAGAUAGUAGAAUUUUUGCUAAUGUCAUCAAGGCAUUCUGCAGAAAGGGUACAGGGGAAUGCAACAGAGAUGUUGCAGCUGUGUUCUGUAUUAGACGGGAUGCUUGGAAUUAUGUGAUCCAUCUAUUUUAUGUGUUCGUAACUUGGAAUUUGUUUGAUUGGAAUCUAUAUAUUAUCUUCAAUAUUAAUCACCCAAUCGGGUACACAUAGGUGAAGUCCAUUAACUGAAUACAUUCUGCCCACAGCUUAACUGAAUACCAAUAGGCACAACAUGGCCGACAAUCCAAGCACUGAAACAACAUAAUAGAGUACCAGAUAUUGUAAACCAUUAUCUAAUCCCUGAAAGCUCUACAAGAUCUUUCUUCCAUGAUCUCUGUGGAACCCCUGCCUUGAAUUUCCAUUCAAAUAAGCUCUGAUGUUUCGUUAUUGCAUCGAUCCAGAUCUUGAAAAUAUCAUUGUCAGUCUUACACUGGUAGCUGUUGAAGUAGCUCCACGCUGGCCUAAAGUACAUCAAACUUGCCCAAAAGUUUGACUAUUCACCAGAGCACCCAUAAGAAAAAGAUAUCUACAACUAACAUCCAGACUAUAGUUAAGUCAACAAAGAUAGCAUAUAAAUUUUGUCAAAUGAUAUUCCAUAACAACUGGUAAAAUUUCCAAUGGGAAUCCAUAGCUCAGCAGCUCUAUUUAGUGGAGUACAUUCUAAAGGACAGCAAUGUUUUAUUUCAACUCUACUAAGGUGGUGUUUAGAUUGAGAAAAAUUUUAGGAGAAGUGUCACGUCAAAUGUUUGACCAGGUGUCGGAAGGGGUUUUCGGACACAAAUGAAAAAACGAAUUUCACGGCUAGCCUAGAAACCGCGAGACGAAUCUUUUGAGCCUAAUUAAUCCGUCAUUAGCACAUAUUGAUUACUGUAGCACUUAUGGCUAAUCAUGGACUAAUUAGGCUCAAAAGAUUCGUCUCAAGAUUUCCUACCUAACUGUGCAAUUAGUUUUUUGGUUCAUCUAUGUUUAAUGCUUUAUUUAGGUGUCUAAAAAAAUCGAUGUGAUGUUUUUGGGAAAAUUGUUUGGAAACUAAACAAGGGCUAAAUGGAGUAGUAUAGUUUCACUGUAUAUUCACUUUCAAGGACAUCGUUGUAUAUUCUUAGCGCAUCAGAUCUCUAAAAAAAUCAAUCAUUGAUUUCUUUGAAGCAAAUAGGGCUAGAAUCUUAGAGUCAAUCAAAUAUAUACAUGCCGUCCUUGAUCAAGAUAAAGCUUUCCUUGUGACUUAAGGUUGGUGUGGUUUAUCCCCUACACUCUGCAUAAGCAGGACAACAUAACUCAUUGAGCUAUGUAAUUAUGCCAUGAAUUAAGUAAUAGCCACCUCAGUAUAUCUAUCAUGGGGAAAAAAUGACGGUUCUGACCAAAAGUAAGUACAACGCUACCUGAUUUAAUUCAUACACAUAAAGCUUUCUUGUUUUUUUUUUCUCUAGAACUCUAGGUCGACUAAAACAGACCCUGCCUAUAAGGAUCAUCAGUCAUCAGGUAAAACAUCCACGAUCAUUCAAUACGAUCAUUCAAUGGUAGCAAACAUCCACGAUCUUCAGCAUUUGCAGUUUGCAAAAUAAGAUCAAGUAGGUGGUUUCUUAAAAGACCAUGUGUAAUAACAAGAGAAAAUCUAUUGUAUGACACUUACUUUGUCCUCUUUCUAUGAUAUGCCACUGAGUUUAUCAAGUUUUAUAAUAUGUCCUUUAUUUUUCUGAACCUCUAUAGCAUAUCACUGCCGUUACCUUAGUUAUCUAUAGGGUUUACUUUUUUUAAAAGACAAAAAUAUCAAGUAAUAUCACGGAGGAAAAAACACAGUUCGAUUGGAUCUAGACCAUGGAGGAGGAGGAUAGCACACAUGCCACGAUGCCGUCGCCUGCACCCUCAGCGCCGUCGCCUCCUUGCCCCCCCGGCGUCGACGGCCGCGUCCUCGCCCCCAGCGCCGGCGGCCGCGUCCCCGCCCCCUGCGCCGACAGCCCGUUCCCCGCCCCCAGCGCGGGCGGCCGCGUCCCCGCCCCCUGCGCCGACAGCCCGUUCCCCGCCCCCAGCGCCGGCGGCCGCGUCCCCGCCCCCUGCGCCGACAGCCCGUUCCCCGCCCCCAGCGCCCGCCGCCCCGCCCCCUCCGCCGACAGCCCGUUCCCCGCCCCCAGCGUUGCCGCCGGCGCCCACGUCCCCGACCCUGCCCCCAGCCCGGGCGACCUCUUCCCCGCCCCCAACGCCGCCGGCAGCACCUGCAGCUAUCGUGCCGCCACCUGCCAUACCCAUUCAUGCAUGCCGAUUAAGGUCUUGAUUACGACGCAAUGACAUAAUGCCGCCCGAAAUUGCCGCAUCAGUACCGUAUCUAUCUCCUUAUUAAAGCUUGUGAAGUUGCUGUAAUCAUCAAGAGUAAUUACCACUAUCAUCAUCUCAUGGCAAUGGUAAUCGGCAGUGCACUAGAGGAGCAACUGUGAAAAGGGCAAAUUUGUCCUUUCACGAGUUCAAACAGAGGCUGACAGCCAAACUGACCGUCAGUGGUAUGUUACAGAGGUUCAGCAAAAUGGAGGGUAUAUUGUAGAACUUGACAAACUUAAUUGUAUAUUGUAGAAAGAUGACAAAGUCAGUGGCAUACAGUGGAUUUUCUCUAAUAAUAAACCAGGAGAAGCCUGUUUCAUGACAAACAUUUCCUGAGAUAAUUAGUGAACCAGAAAUUCCUCAACAAUAAACACAAAAUCAGUUUUCCGUUGGAUCACAAAAUAUCAGGGCUUUAUCAAAUAAUAGACUAAUCUGGAUAAAAGUUAUGAACAGACAGAUCCCAAAUAUUAAGAAUGGGAUAUAAUUAAUCAAAUUACACAGGAUAAACAUAAGUGUUGGCUGACAGAUUACAAAAGCAUAAUAUGUCAAAGAGAAAUAAUUGCAGGCCAAAACCAAUAAGGAAAUUUACCUUCAUUGGCUAUUCACUAAUAGCACAGAUUCAAAUAAGGCCACUACCAUGCAAAGUAGUGAAAAAGAGCAAGCAGACGUAUGAGAACUCUCAAAUUUGGUAAGACUAAAGAUUUACUCCUUGUUUCAUCAGAUAAUUAUAUGGUUGCAGUUGUGACAGAUAAUUCCUUGGUUCAAGAAGAUGCUGAUGAGAAAAAGGAUGAAAAGCAGGAGUUACACCAUAUUUUUUGCUGAACCUAUGCGAGCAUCCAAUUCAUUUGUUGGCUAGGAUGAAAAGCAGGAGUUACACCAUAUUUGUUGCCCGUAUGUGUUUGGCAAAGUUUUGAUUCAUUCCCGAUACUUUUCUCUUUUGUUCUGAGUUAUCUCAACUUUGUCAUUUAUCAGGACAUCAUUACAGGAGGCGGUCAUAAUUGUAACAGAUAUCCGGUUAACACGACAUAAUGUUUUACAGAUGAAGUUAUCCAAAUUCUAAUCUUCAUAAGACAUUCAUUUUCAUUUUUUUAGUUGUUCAUAUACUAUGUGGUCUGAACUGGAUGGCAGAGCGAGUACUUAAUUGUAAUUAAGAAUUUAAGAUUAGUAUUUUUAUAUCUAGGAUUCAUAUACUGUGUUCUGAACUAGAUGGCAGAGCGAGUACUUAAUUGUAAUUGAGAUUAGUAUUUUUUAUAAUUGGGAUUCAUAUACUUUGUGUUCUGAACUGGAUGGCAG